UACGAAGGGGGCAAGCGUUGUUCGGAAUUACUGGGCGUAAAGGGCUCGUAGGUGGCCAACUAAGUCAGACGUGAACUCCCUCAGCUUAACUGGGGAACUGCGUCUGAUACUGGAUGGCUUGAGUUUGGGAGAGGGAUGCGGAAUUCCAGGUGUAGCGGUGAAAUGCGUAGAUAUCUGGAGGAACACCGGUGGCGAAGGCGGCAUCCUGGACCAACACUGACACUGAUGAGCGAAAGCCAGGGGAGCAAACGGG
rnacentral:rRNA from 1 species